AGCAAACUCCGAACAAUAAACCCGGGCAGGUGGAGGUCGUUAGCGAAAGCAGUUCAUCUAGGAGAGCAAACUCCGAUUAUAAAACCGGGCAGGUGGAGGUCGUUAGCGAAAGCAGUUCACCUAGGAGAGCAAACUCCGAUUACAAACCCGGGCAGGUGAGGUUCGUUAGCCGUGGUAGGCAAUUCACCUAAGAGAGCAAACUCCGAACAAUAAACCCGAGCAGGUGGAGCUCGUCAGCCGUGGUGGGCAAUCUGCCUAGGAGAGCAAACUCCGAACAAUAAACCCGGGCAGGUGUAGCUCGUCAGCCGUGGUAGGCAGUCUGCCUAGGAGAGCAAACUCCGAACAAUAAACCGGGGCUUGUGGUGCUCGUUAGAUGUCGUAGACAAUCCACGUGAUGGGAACACCAAUGAAAAGGAAAAUAAAAAGGAACACCAGAAAAAGGAAAAUAUAGUAACAAAACAUCAAGAAAAUAAAAUAAAAAACACAGAUCAUCCACCUUCAGGUCCUAACAUCUCCAAAAUUAUGGGUGAGUCUUUUCUGGGGAGAAAGAGGCUCAUCCAGACCCAAGAACAUCAAAAAGGGAUGAUAUAGAAAGGAACACCAAAAAAAUGGGAAAAAGAGAAAAAAAACAUCGCAAAAGAAAAGUAACAACAAUAACAGAACAACGUCAAGAAAAGUAACAUACAAAGAAA